rnacentral:tRNA from 1 species
GCUCAUAUAGCUUAUUUACAAAGCGUAGCACUGAAAAUGCUAAGAUGGACCCUAAAAAGUCCUUUGGGCA